CCUACGGGUGGCAGCAGUGGGGAAUAUUGGACAAUGGGGGGAACCCUGAUCCAGCGACGCCGCGUGAGUGAAGAAGUAUUUCGGUAUGUAAAGCUCUAUCAGCAGGGAAGAAAGACAUGACGGUCCCUGACUAAGACGCCCCGGCUAACUACGUGCCAGCAGCCGCGGUAAUACGUCGGGGGCAAGCGUUCUCCGGAUUUACUGGGUGUAAAGGGAGCGUAGACGGUUACGCAAGUCUGGAGUGAAAGGCGGGGGCCCAACCCCCGGACUGCUUUGGAAACUGGAUAACUGGAGUGCAGGAGAGGUAAGUGGAAUUCCUAGUGUAGCGGUGAAAUGCGUAGAUAUUAGGAGGAACACCAGUGGCGAAGGCGGCUUACUGGACUGUAACUGACGUUGAGGCUCGAAAGCGUGGGGAGCAAACAGGAUUAGAUACCCCUGUAGUC
rnacentral:rRNA from 1 species